UCUCCGUAGGUGAACCUGCGGAGGGAUCAUUACAGAGUUCUCGCCCUCGCGGGUAGAUCUCCCACCCACUGUUAUCGUUACUGUGUUGCUUUGGUGGGCCGCCGGGCCCCGCUCGGCCGCCGGCUCCGGCUGGCGCGCGCCCGCCAGAGGCCCAGCAAACUCUGAAUGUUAGUGUCGUCUGAGUACUAUAUAAUAGUUAAAACUUUCAACAACGGAUCUCUUGGUUCUG
rnacentral:misc_RNA from 1 species